UGUACAGCCUAAUUUAUGCCCGGGCCCAACAAGCAGAGACCCAAGGAUUAAAUCUACCCAAACAGCCCCAUUACAAGCCCAAAAUCCAAACAAGCCCAUUACAGCAGGGCCCAACAAAGGUCAGCAUAGGGUUUCAGCUUUUCUGAAACCCUAGCUAAGGCGCCGCACGUCCGUGGGGGCUCCUAACGUCUACCGCCGCUCUAGUUUCUGCCACCGACGCCACCAGCUAUUCCCAUCAAUUACCUGCAAGGACAGCACGCAAAGCAAAGGCAAAAACAGUGCAAAAUAAUAGAAAUAGAUAAAGAUGUAUUAAAAUCGGCUAUAUAAGGAGACAAACAAAAUGUAACAGGGGUCUUUUUUUUUCGGUGAUUAAAAACAACUUAAUAAAAAGAAGAAAAAACUGAGAAGGUAAAUUGCCUUUCUUUUCUGUUCUGGCGUUUCCUAUCUUUUUUUAUUUUUUUUUAUUUUUUAUUUUACACUACUCUUUAAAAAAAACAAAAGAAAAGGGGAAAGAAAAGGACCUAUUUGUUUUCGAAGACCGGCGUCGGAGCCCGUCUUCGUCGUCGCCGGUGGAGGAGGAGACGAACGGUCUCUCCUCGUUUCCGGGUCUUGGGCUCGUCUUUCUCGACAUUUCACCAUGGAUCUGUGGUCUAGAGGCAAUCGGCUUCGAGGGGGACCAAAAAGAUCCGAUUUUGUGCCUCCGACCACCGUGCACGGUGGUCGACGGAGGGUGGCCCGAUGAUCGGAAGCGGCCGGAUCUUGGCCGGCCUUGGGGGGCUUGAGAGAGAAGGCUCUUUGUUUUUUUUUAGAAAACGGAUAAAAAUGAUAUUUUGGGGCAUUUGUUUUAUAUUUAUACAAGUCAUAAAACGGCGCCGUUUUGAGGCCCUCUUGACCCGCGCGGUGACCCGACCCGGGGGAAGGAUCCGCGUGUUUUCUUUAAAUGGUAUAAUUGCACGCGCAGUCCCUCAGACUUUGCAACGCGUUGCAAUUUGACCCUUGCUUCGUUCUUUUCUGUUUUUUUAAUUUAACCACAAGCUUUUAUUUCUGUUUCAAUUCUAACCCUCUGCUGUACUGCGUUUUGGGGCUUCGGGGUAUUUACCAUUUUGGUCCCCCCUUUUUUCGCGCGUAUUACAUUUUGAUCCUUUAUUCUGUUUUAUUUUUGAUUUCAGCCCUGAGGUUUCGUUCCCGUUUCGAAUUAGUCCUAUUAUUAUUAUUAUUACUAUUAUUAUUACCUAUUUAUUUAUAUUGAUUUUAUUUAAACUUCCGGUACAUAUAUAUAUUUAUAUAUUUUACAACUUAUGUACCUAUAUAUAUAUCUAUAUACGUAUUUUCAUUUUCAUAAAUACAUAUAUAUUUAUAUAUAAUCUUUAUGGUCUAAAAUACACCCUUUUAUAUUUUUUAAAUCCGCAUAUACAUACACAUUUUCAAUAUAUUUUUAGUAUGUAUAUAAAUUAACGUAUUUAUUUGUAUACAUAUGUAUAUUUUCAUUAGUUUUAAACCUUUGUUUGUACAUAUAUACUUUUUCUUUUAUUUUACAAUAUAUAUACACUUACUUUUUAUAUGUAUUCCUUUAUCUUCGUAUUCCAUAGUUUUAUACACCUAUAUGCAUAUAUUUUUACAUAUACGCAUAUUUAUUUAUCUUAUAUAAAAUAUACUUUAUAUAUUUUGUUAAUUCACGUAUACACAUAUCUUAGUUCAUGUCUAUAUAUAUCUUUUAUACUUAAUCGUAUUUGCUAUUUAUUUAUUUCAUUUUUGUUAUUAUUUUGAAUGAAUGAUUUAACUUUAUUCGCUUUUAUUUUGUUAUUUUUGUAUGUUGUAAGUUUGGUCGUUCAUAUUGAUUGCUAUAGCUUGCAUCGUUUUUAUAUUUUCAUGUUCAUUAUGAUUUUGCCAUGCAUAAAUAAUGUAAUUUGCUUUCGCUAUAAUUUUGUGCUUUAUUUUUACUCGAUAUAACAAAAUUUAUUUUUUUUUAAAUGGCAUUUCGUGUUUGGAUUCGAGAAAAUCGUGCCCUAACUUACUGGGUUUCGAUACUCUCGAUAAAUCUAAAUGUACGGAUCUUUCUAAACUCAAAUUUUAGAUGACCUCGGGAUUAAAAAAAUCACGUCCUAACUUACUGGUCGUGAUCUCAUUUUUAAAUCCGAGAUGGCUAAAAUAUCUUUUAAAUAAGCAUUUUUCAUUCGCGUAUCGAGAAUUUGAGAUAUUGUAUUCUAACUUACUGGAUAUGAUUCUCUUUCUCGAUUAACGUGAAAUAUAUUUCUUUUUCCAAAAUUUUCAUUUUAAUACAAGGAUCGUAUUUUUAAUUCUCUCAAGUUCUCAAUUUUCGACAUCAAGACAUUAGAUAAUCAACUAGGUACCAAUUUCUGGGCGUUACGAGGGUGCUAAUCCUUCCUCGUAUGUAACCGACUCCCGAACCCAUUUUCUAAAUUUCGUAGACCAAAACCGUUGUUUUAAUUAAAUCAAAUUAUUUAUUAAAAACAACCUUUUUCCAAGGUGACCCAAUCACACCUCAAAAAGGAUUGGUGGCGACUCCCUUUUUCAUUUUCAAAACCCAAGUCGACCCCGUUUUUCAAUCAAAAAAUGGUGUCAACAGCUUGGCGACUCCGCUGGGGACAAUAAGAGAGUCAAGCCACGUGUUGAUUAUUUCUUGUCUUUUUGUUGAAAGUGGAAAAUUUGAUUUAAAUUUACGAUCCUUUCAUUGCAUCUCUUUUGUUUUGAGUUAUAUUUUUUAUCAUGUUCUGUAUUUUAUUUUAUACCUCUGCACAUUGCAUUGCAUGAUCGCUGGUCAUACCCUUUUAAGUGGGAGUGAGAAACUACGCCUUCGUGAGGUUUUCACCUCCGCGUGGGAUAGUGAAUCGCUUUCGGGAUACAUCCGUACCUAUGUCUUCGUGAGAUUUUCAUCUCCGCAUGGCCAUAGGGAAAUGUAUUCCCCUGAACCGAACUCGGUUUGUAUGAGCCUAUAAUGGGCAAAGAUCGAGGAAUCUGCUGGUUCAGGUACCUUAUCUCUAGAGCCAUACCACAUGUAGUGAGCCUUAGGAACCGACCUAGGUAGAGCUACUCCAAAUUUUAGUGCUUACCUAAAUGAAUGUUGUAUUUAUUUGUCGCUUAUUUUAAAUCUUAUUCUGUGUUUAAUGCUAAUUUACUUUGUUUGUGAUUGCAUGGCAUCUUCAUUCUAAAAGAGGUGUCGAUUUACGUUCAGUUUCUUGGUAGAAAGCUUAUCAUGGAAAAGGAGUUUGUUGAUAAAGUAGAGGAUAAUGCGGCUGUGCGAAUAUGGGCUGAAACGACACAACGGGAGAAAGGCGAUAGUCUUACCGAAGGGUACGUGUCAGAAUUGUGGGAUUUUACCCGUAUCAGUGUAAUCCAGAAUGAUCUUCGAGAAAUGAAAGAAGUCUGGGAUCAAUGGGAUGUCGAGGCCAAGCAGCUGUUCUAUUGUAACUACGGUGACCUACCUUAUCUGCUUAGUGUCAAAGUGGACAAGUAUUUAUUCCGAGCCCUUGCUCAGUUUUGGAAUCCUGCCUACAGUUGUUUCACUUUUGGGAAGGUAGAUUUGACGCCUACUGUGGAGGAGUAUACGACCUUGCUUCGGUGCCCAAAGAUUCAAGUCGACAAGGCUUAUUCUAGAGCUGCUUGUGUCCCUCCGUUGUUAAAGAAAUUAAUGAACAUCACUGGGAUGAGCGAGCAGUGGGUCGCUGCCCGGAUCCAACAGAAGGGCGACAGUAAAUGUGUUCCUUGGAAAAGUUUGCGAGACUUGGUGCUUGUACAUCCUGACUUAAAGAAAAGGGUCGAUGUCUUCGCUUUAGGUAUCUAUGGACUAGUGGUUUUCCCCAAAGCUUUAGGACACAUAGACGAGGCUGUAUCUGAUUUGUUCGAUCGGCUUAGUAAAGGGGUUACACCGGUUCCGGCAAUACUCGCUGAAACUUUUAGAUCCUUGAGUGCAUGUCGGAAAGCAGGGGAGGGAAGGUUUAUUGGAUGCGCACAGCUCUUAUUGGCAUGGUUCCAUAGCCACUUCUAGAAAGUCGAAAAGGUCUCUUAUCGGGUAUUCUCUGAUAACUACUCCCCUCUAGGAGAAUUGGUGGCCACGCCAAGGCGGGAUGGUAUUUCAGAAGAAAAAUGGAUAGAGAUACUCGAGAAUCUCCAGGAUGAAGAUAUUGAAUGGAGGGCUCCUUGGUUAAUUCCCGAUGAGAUAUUGUAUCGAUGUGGAGAUUUUGACUGGGUUCCGCUGCUCGGGAUAUGGGGAGCUAUCGGAUAUACUCCUCUACUCGUAUCAAGACAGUAUAGAUCACGACAAUCCAUACCAGCAACGCAGGGGUUGGCUUAUAGUGAUUUUUCCUAUAGGGAGGACAAUUACAAGAAGAAGGUUCGAGAAAUAUCUAGUGCUUGGAACCAGACUCGUCGAAUGAAGAUCUUAGCCGUGGGUCCGACAAUUACCCCCGAGUAUGGUCAGUGGCGUGAUCAAAGGAUCAACGACAACAUCCCGGCGUCAAAUUCAGAAACUGCUCGAUCUUUAGAGGAACACUUACAAGUUUUGCCUUCUGAGAUAGAAAUCAUCAAACAAGAAUUCGAAAAAAGGAGUUUAGAAUUGGGGAAGAAGAUAGAACAACUAGAGGAAGAAAAAAUGCAGUUAGGACUGGAUGUGGACAUUCAAAGAUUAGAGGCCAACAAAUUGAGAAAAGGAAAGAAUAAAGCAGAAGAAGAUUUGGACAGCCUGAAGACAGAUUACAAGAAGUUGCGUAGGUCGGUAAGAGCUGCUGGCUUGGGUAAAACGCCAGAACAAUGGCGACAAGAAAUUCAGGAGGAAAAGACGAAAGCUAAUCAAUGGGAAAAGAAAUUUCAGGAUACUCGGGCUCGAGAAGUCGCCUUGGGAAAGAGUCUACUAGUUUGCCAAGACGAGAAGACGGAGUUGAAGGUCCGGAUAGCUGAACUAGAAAGAUCGCUUCACCAGUACUGUAAUCGUAAUGCUACGGUGGAAUUAAGGGCGAGCUUAGACAAAAUUGAAGAAUUAAAAGGACAAAUAGGAGGGCUAGAGAAUGCAUUGCAAAAUAGUGAAAUCCGGAUAGAGCUUCUGGAAGAAAGUAAUGAGCAGUGGCAAAGACAAUUCCGUCGGUCUCAAGAGCAGAUUGGAGAAAGAGAUUAUAUUAUGGGAGAGGCGGUGACUCAAGUGCGCGAAGUAGCUGAUCAUCUGCAAACUCUAGCGGUUCAGGCUGAUCUAUUAAGUUUGAAGUAUGAGUUAGAGUCGGACAGGGGCCGAGAAUUAGCUUGGCUUCUUAGAAAGGUUAAGGCUUUAAGUGUAAGGGCAAAGCCAUAUAUGUAGUCUAUUUUAUGUAAAGAAACUCUUUAUCUAGUAAAGUUUUCUAAUGAAGUUGAAUUAGAAUCAGUGCCUCUUUUUCUUUGCAUUCUUUUCAUGCAUUGCAUCACAUCAUAUGCAUUAAUGACCAUUAAAAACCUAAUCGAAUAAAAUCAUUUCAAUUAACCUGGAAAACCAACAAAGUUACGGCACCCGAGCUAAGACAAAAAUUAUGGACCAAAGGUUGGAGAAGCUAGAACGACUUCAAAAAGAAAUGCAAGACCAGUUGCAGGCGCAAAUGAAAGAGCAAAUAGAAAAGAUUCAGCGUGACAUGGUGCAAAAGAUGGAGGAGUCCCAAAAUGAUCUGGUGGCUAAGAUGACGCAAUUAUUGAAGGGAGUAGAUAAGGGUAAAGGUCCUGUAAUUGUUAGUGAAGAAGAAAACAAUGGUGAACCACUUUAUCCUCUAGGUUUCACGCCUCCGCAUGCGCAAGUACAGACUGAGCUGCAUUCGCAGAGACCCUCUGUGUCGGUUAGACCCCAGCAGUUCCAAGGCGAUGCUUCAAUCCCAAUGAAUUUUCAACCCGGAGCGGGCUUUAAUCCCGGUGAUAGCCCGAAUAAUAUUGCGGUCCCAGAUCUUGACGAGAUGGUUGAAAAGGACAAGGCGAAGGAGGAAUUUCCAAAACAAUUUGAGGAGAAAUGGAAAUGGAUAGAAGAGAAGUUUAGGGCAAUAGAAAGCAUCGAAAGCUAUGGAACAGAUGCAAAGGAUCUGAGCUUAGUUCCGGACUUGGUGCUCCCUUACAAAUUUAAGAUGCCGGAAUUCGAGAAAUACAACGGGACUAGUUGCCCAGGAUCCCAUAUUACUAUGUUUUGUAGAAGAAUGACGGGGCAUAUUAAUAAUGAUCAAUUAUUAAUACAUUGCUUUCAGGAAAGUCUUACGGGAGCGGCGUCAAAGUGGUACAAUCAGCUGAGCCGAGCUAAAAUUGCUACUUGGAGGGAUUUAGCACAGGCUUUCUUGAGACAAUACAAUCAUGUCUCAGAAAUGAUGCCUGACAGGAUAACUCUGCAAAAUUUAGAGAAGAAAUCGAACGAAAGCUUCAGACAAUAUGCGCAGAGGUGGCGAGAGGUGGCGGUUCAGGUGCAACCACCGCUUUUGGAAAAGGAGAUAACGACGCUUUUUAUUAAUACUUUGAAAGCCCCGUUCAUCACUCACAUGUUGGGAAGCGCUUCAAGAAAUUUCUCAGAUAUAAUCAUGAAUGGUGAAAUGAUUGAGCAUGCCAUUAAAAGUGGAAAAAUAGAUGGAGGAGAAAAUAAUAGGAGGGCACCCCCGAGGAAAAGAGAAAAUGAAGUGAAUAAUGUGAAUACUUAUGGUAGGUCAAUUACCGUGAAUCAGCCAAAGAAAGUGGUUGCUAAUCAACAGGGAUCAUCAAGACAAGAGUCGGGAGCUAGGCAAACUACUGAAAAGCCCCAAUUCACGCAAAUCCCGAUGUCAUACAAGGAGUUGUAUUAGACUUUAUUCGAUGCACAUGUUGUUGCUCCUCGUUACUUGAGUCCUCUACAACCCCCGUAUCCAAAAUGGUAUGAUACGAAUGCGCAAUGUGAUUAUCAUGCGGGAAUUUCUGGGCACUCGAUAGAAAAUUGUACGGCCUUCAAGAAGGUAGUAGAAGGACUUAUCAAUUUAGGUGUUGUCAAACUUGACGACUCACCUAACGCAAAGAAUCCGUUACCUAAUCACGCAGAUAAGGGGGUGAAUAUAGUUAGUGAAGGUACGGGAGAAGAAGUCAAGACUGACAUUGCUGAAGUAAAAACUCCAUUGAAACGGGUCUGGAAAGAAAUGGCGAAAAGAGGGUUGGUUAUUUCAGAUUCUGAGAAAGGGCAUGAGAUGGGAAAUUAUUGUGAAUUUCACCAUGAAACAGGGCAUGAAAUCCAAGAAUGUGAAGGAUUCAAGGCCUUGGUUCAAAGCAUGAUGGAUAACAAGGAGAUGAGGUUUUAUGAAGAUGUGAAAGAAAUGAGGAGCAUAUGCGCGACAGAGUUGGGAACAAAGGCUCCAAAAAUAAAUCAUCCUGUGGUCAUUAUCUCACGCCCUAAGGGUAAUGAGGUUAGGGCUCAGGUAACGCCAAAAAUUGUAAUCCAGAAACCAUCAAAUUUCUCUUAUAAAGAUAACAAAAUGGUGCCGUGGAAUUACGGGUGUAAUGUGACCAUUUUGGGAAAAGAAGCAGAAAGAAAUCAGGAAAUAGGUUCUUACGCGCGCAAUGGAAAAGGAUAUGACGCUCAAGCAGAGUCGCCCAGGGAAGAGGAUUGGAAGAAAGAGCAGAGGAAAGGGAAAGCAGUAGAAGUUGAGCCAUUGGUAAAUGAACCAAUAAAAGAAGAGGAGGCAAAUGAGUUUUUGAAGUUUUUGAAACACAGCGAAUACAGUGUUGUGGAGCAACUGCACAAACAGCCAGCUCGCAUUUCGGUAUUAGCUUUACUCUUAAACUCAGAAGUACAUCGGAAUGCACUCUUAAAGGUGCUAAACGAAACAUAUGUGGCUGACGAUAUUUCGGUAAACAAGUUGGAUCGGUUGAUCAACAAUAUUGGUGCUGACAAUUUUAUCUUCUUCAAUGAUGAUGAAAUACCAUCCGGAGGAAGAGGUUCUACUAAAGCCCUGCACGUUACUGUCCGAUGCAAAGGGUACACACUCCCGGGGGCUUUGGUUGAUAAUGGAUCUGCACUAAAUGUAUUGCCUUUGUCCACUCUUAGUCGAUUACCAAUAGACAGUUCGCACAUGAAAGCAUGCCAGAGCAUAGUAAGGGCAUUUGAUGGAACAAAAAAGGAGGUUAUGGGGAGAAUUGAGGUGCCAUUAAGGAUUGGCCCAGUCACUUAUGAGGUGGAUUUCUUGGUAAUGGAUAUUAAACCCUCCUACAACUGUCUAUUGGGGAGACCGUGGAUACACUCAGCAGGGGCAGUACCUUCAUCAUUACAUCAGAAGGUGAAGUUGGUAUCGGAGGAUCGUUUGGUAACAAUAGAUGCAGAGGAGGAUAUUAUCGCAAUGAUGACUAGCGAUGCACCUUAUGUGGACAUCAACGAUGAGGCGCUAGAAUGUUCUUUUCGGUCGUUAGAAUUUGUGAACGCGAUGUUUAUUGCGGAGGGAAAGAGAAUUCCAGUACCGAAAAUAUCGAGGACCACUGAGAUGGGAUUGCGAUUGAUGGUAGGAAGAGGAGCCUUACCCGGGAAAGGAUUGGGAAAAUAUCUUCAGGGAAGGAUUGAGGCACCAAUGCCGAAGGAAAAGUUUGAUAGAUUUGGUUUAAGGUACAAGCCAGACAUGAAACAGAAGAAGAAAGAAGUAGAGAAGAGGCAAGAGAGAAGAAGGGCGCGUUUGAAUGGACAUGAAGCUAAGUGUGAGCCUUUGACCUUUCCCCACAUAUCUACAUCUUUUGUGUCGGAAGGAUUUAUUCAUUCUGAAUGUGGAGUGUCUGGUAGCGGCAUAGGAGGAAUGUUGGAAAAUGCUUAUACCAACGCCAUAGAAGCAACGGAAAGGAGGGCUUUGUUGGAGAUCUGCCCUUAUGAGCCUGGAAGCGAGCUAAACAAUUGGACUGCUGAAGAAAUCCCUGUAGUCUUUAGGGCUUAUUCAGAGUAAUGCUCAAAACAUUCCUGUUGUUUGUUGGCCUAGAAACGAUAUGAAAUCUUUUGUGAAAUAGGCAUUGGGCCUAAAUAUCAUUAUUUUAAUGAAAUACGUGUCUACGUUCAUCUCAAUCAGUCAUUUUUUUCCUUUUAUAUUUUUCAUUUGGUUGAUUGUCUUACAAAUAAUUCUUUCAUUUGUAAUUCUUUUGCACAAACAUAUCCAUAAAUUUAUAUUCUUGGUAUAUUCUUUGAUAUGCCCUCAUAGGUCUUCAGAUAUCAAUGACAUGAGUGACGCUGCCUCAAACGCGGAGCCUAUUUUUGAGCAAGAAGUGUGUUUAGAGGAAUCCUGCGACUUUGAAAAUGACGAAGAUUAUGAUGCAUCUCCGGACUUGUUAAGAAUGGUGGAACAAGAGGAUAAGCAUAUCCUACCUCAUAAGGAAUCAUUAGAAAUAGUGAGCCUAGAGGAUGGAAAGGAGGUGAAAAUUGGAACUGAAAUCACCGCAAAGACAAGGCAAGACCUCAUUAAUUUGCUCCGAGAAUUCAAGGAUGUUUUCGCGUGGUCGUACCAAGAUAUGCCUGGGCUAAGUACUAACAUUGUGGUGCAUCGUCUGCCCAUAAAGGAGGAUUGUAAACCCGUUCAACAGAAGCUCAGGAGAAUGAGACCUGACAUUGUGUUGAAAAUAAGAGAAGAAGUCAAAAGACAAUUCGACGCUGGAUUCUUACAAGAGGUCAAGUAUUGGGAUUGGGUAGCCAACAUCGUCCCUGUUCCAAAAAAAGAUGGAAAGGUACGAAUGUGUGUGGAUUAUAGGGAUUUGAACAAGGCUAGUCCAAAGGACAACUUUCCACUGCCUCACAUUGAUACUUUGGUAGAUAACACGGCGGGCUAUUCAUUGUUUUCUUUCAUGGAUGGUUUCUCUGGAUACAAUCAAAUAAAGAUGCAUCCUAGAGACAUGAGGAAAACCACAUUCAUUACCUUAUGGGGAACAUUCUGUUACAAGGUAAUGCCCUUCGGAUUGAAGAAUGCGGGAGCAACAUAUCAAAGAGCUAUGGUGACUUUGUUUCACGAUAUGAUGCACAAGGAGAUCGAAGUCUAUGUUGACGAUAUGAUCGCAAAGUCUAGAUCGGAAGAAGAGCAUGUUCAGGUCUUGAAAAGGUUAUUUUUGAGAUUAAAAAAAUUCCAGCUCAAGCUUAACCCGGCCAAAUGCACGUUUGGAGCCAGAUCAGGGAAGUUAUUAGGCUUCAUAGUUAGCAAAAAGGGGAUCGAGGUUGACCUAGACAAAGUAAAGGCAAUACGAGAUUUACCUCCCCCGCGCACUCAGAAGGAGGUUCGAGGUUUCCUAGGGAGGCUGAAUUACAUUGCUCGGUUUAUCUCACAACUGACAGAGAAAUGUGAUCCGGUAUUCCGGCUCUUAAAGAAACAUAAUCCGGGUGAAUGGGAUGAAGAGUGUCAGAAGGCUUUCGAUAAGAUAAAGCAGUACUUGGCUAAUACCCCAGUCUUAUCACCUCCAAGUCCAGAUAGGCCAUUGAUAUUGUAUCUAACAGUGUUGGAGAAUUCCAUGGGAUGCGUAUUGGGCCAACAUGAUGAGACGGGAAAGAAAGAAAGGGCAAUAUACUACCUCAGUAAGAAAUUUACCGAUUGCGAAAUGAGGUACUCAUCAAUUGAGAAGUUGUGUUGUGCUCUAAUCUGGGCGACCCGAAGACUGAGGCAGUAUAUGUUGUAUCACACGACUUGGCUGAUUUCAAAGUUAGAUCCUUUAAAGUAUAUGAUGGAAUCGACUGCUUUGAACGGGAGAAUGGCUAGAUGGCAGAUCUUGCUCUCAGAAUUUGAUAUAGUAUAUGUCAGUCAGAAGGCCAUAAAGGGAAGUGCAAUAGCCGAUUUCCUAGCUAGUAGAGCCUUGGAGGACUAUGAAUCUUUGAACUUCGAUUUUCCAAACGAGGACUUGAUGUAUAUGGCGAAUACUGAAGAAAAUCCUCAAAUGGACCAUGUAUGGAAGCUAAAUUUUGAUGGAGCUUCAAAUGCUACAGGUAAUGGAGUUGGGGCAGUUUUGGUAUCCCCAAGUGGAGAUCAUUAUCCUGUUGCUAGCAAGUUGGACUUCGAUUGUACAAAUAACAUGGCAGAAUAUGAAGCAUGUAUUAUGGGCAUUCGUGCAGCCAUUGAACGGAACAUCAAAGUACUGAGAGUAUACGGGGAUUCAGCGUUGGUGAUAUACCAACUCAAAGGGGAGUGGGAGACUAGAGAUCCUAAGCUAAUCGGUUAUAGAAAACUAGUUCUUGAAUUGGCUGAGGAGUUUGACGAUAUCACCUUCUAUUACCUCCCACGGGAGGAAAACCAAAUGGCUGAUGCAUUAGCUACUCUAGCUUCGAUGAUUCAGGUGAAUAGACUUGAGGCAAUGAGGCCUGUUCAGAUGAGUAUCUCCGAGACCCCGGCUAAUUGCUGCAAUAUUGAGGAGGAGGGAAAAGAUGAUUGUCCUUGGUAUCAGAGUAUCCUACAAUAUGUAAAGAAUCGGGAAUACCCUGAUCAAGCGACAGAGAAUGACAAAAGAGCUCUGAGAAAGAUAGCCAUUGAAUAUGUCUUAGAUGGAGAAGUGUUAUAUAAAAGAAGGAAGGAUCAAGUACUGUUAAGAUGUGUGGAUGCUGUGGAAGCCAAGAAAAUUUUGGAAGAAGUCCAUGAGGGUAUUUGUGGGACGCACGCCAGUGGUUUCACGAUGGCCAGACAGAUCAUGAGAUUUGGGUACUAUUGGCCCACCAUGGAAGGAGAUUGUAUUGAUCAUGCCAGGAAGUGCCACAAAUGCCAAAUUUACGGAGACAAAAUACACGCGCCCCCUUCACCUCUUCACGUCAUGACCUCUCCUUGGCCGUUUUCCAUGUGGGGUAUGAAUGUUAUUGGGCCAAUAUCACCAAAGGCUUCUAAUGGGCAUCGCUUCAUCUUCGUAGUAAUUGAUUACUUUACCAAGUGGGUGGAGGCUGCUUCAUAUGCAAAUGUCACAAAAGCAGUAGUCAGCAAAUUCUUGAAGAAGGAGAUCAUUUGUCGAUAUGGAAUGCCUGAGAGGAUCAUAUCCGACAAUGCGAUGAACUUGAAUAAUAGCACAAUAGCUGAAGUUUGUAGCAAAUUUAAAAUUAAGCAUCAUAACUCAUCGCCGUAUCGUCCAAAAAUGAAUGGUGCAGUGGAGGCGGCCAAUAAAAACAUUAAAAGGAUUGUGGGGAAAAUGACUGAAACCUACAAGGAUUGGCAUGAGAAAUUAUCAUUUGCUCUCCUUGCCUAUCGAACAUCUGUUAGAACUUCUACUGGGGCAACGCCUUUUUCUCUGGUUUAUGGAAUGGAGGCAGUAUUACCCAUUGAGGUUGAAAUCCCUUCUCUACGGGUGUUAUCUGAGCUACAGUUGGAUAAAGCCGAUUGGAUCCAAUCUCGGUACGAUCAGUUGAACCUAAUAGAGGAAAAGAGGCUAAGGGCUAUUCACCAUGGGCAAAUGUACCAGAAACGAAUGAUGCGAGCUUAUAAUAAAAAGGUUCGCCUCCGAGAAUUUCGCGAAGGGGACUUGGUACUAAAAAAGAUUCUUCCUAUGCAAAAAGAUUUUAGAGGAAAAUGGAUGCCAAAUUGGGAAGGCCCUUAUGUUGUAAAGAAGGCCUUUUCCGGUGGAGCUUUGAUCCUAUGCGAGAUGGAUGGCAAAAGUCUACCAAAUCCUGUAAACGCAGAUUCCGUCAAGAAAUACUUCACUUGAAAGAAAGCGGAACCAAAGUGAAAACCCGUGAAGGGCGCUUUGCUUCCUAAAAAAAAAAAAAAAGACUUUGGAGAGGCUAAGGUGAAAACCCGUAAAGGGCACUUUGAGACCAAAGAGGGCUUGAGUCGAAAACCCGAAAAGGGCGACUCAAGUAUUGGGCAGGAUUGGAACAUCAGGACUUGAGCGGAUCAAAUUUUGAUCGGGGGGAUAUGAUGAUCUUCCUUUACUUGAACCAACAAGAAAGGAUAUGCAACGUCUUGAAGCAUUGACAGAGUAUUGCCGAUCUCCUGAACACCUGUCAAACUCAGAAGGGUCUCCGGAAAGUUUGUACAGAGAAACUCAAUCUGCGAUAACUGGGGCACCUAGUUCUUAUGUGUAUUCUUGAAAAUACAUUCUUUCUUCCUUUCUUUUUGUGAAAAUACACAUUCUCAAUCCACUUCUUUGUUACCUUUCUUUCGCCAUCUUUGAUGUUUUAUUUGAGUUAUGAUUAGAACCAACUUUAUUCUUAUCCAUUGUUAUGACCUUUUUGCAAACAUGUUGCAUUGGAAUAAUGAUUAAUGGACUAAUAAAACGUUCACAAAGGAAGUUUUGCAUAUUACUCUGAAAAGUUCUAAAUAAUAUAGGAACCUGAAACAGGACUAUUGUUUAGAACACGCCAAUUUUAAAGGUUGGAAAUAUCUAAGAAGGAAGAGUCUAAGUUAAAGACUAUCUUUUCAGAUUUUGUUGUCUAAACAUUGAUUGAACAAAAUGACAAGAUGUCGUGUUGGUGGCAAAGCUUCAAUGAACCAAAAAGCGAUGUUUACCAGGCAAGAAGAAAAGGUCUUCUAGGAGAAGAAAAUUUUGCAUUUGUGCAUGAGCAUUUGGUAUGACACCUUGGGGAUGAGGUAAAGGACCAAAGAGUCUCACAUUCAAUGUCAUUGAAUUGCGAUAGGAGAAGAUUGAGAAAAGCCAUACCUUUCCACCCUUGGGUUACAGUGGGAGAUUGAUGGUACAAAUUUUAUGUCCCAGUGGAUUGAACUUUGACGUGCACAGUGGGGGGCAAUCAGAUUAAGUGUUUCUUUGGAUAUGCUAACCGAGCAAGAAGGCGGUGUAGCGCAUCAGUGAUAAAGCCUUAAUAAGCUUUUGUGUGAUGAUAACCUAAGCAUUAAGGAAUCGUUUUCAUGACAUUUUGCAUGUCAUUCAUACACAUCUAGUUAGGAGCAUUUGUUUCAUUUUGAUAAUGUCAUCUUAAUCAUUAAGCAUAAUUAGGUUCAUUAUAAAAGGUCUUAUUCCCCUGAGAUUACGGUGGAACAGACCAAAGAAUUGCAGAUCUUAUCUCCCUGAGAUUACAGCGGAGCAGAUUGAAUAUAGUAAUCCUAUCUCCCUGAGAUUACAGUGGAGCGGAUUAAAGGAUCUUAUCUCUCUGAAGUUACAGUAGAGCAGAUCGCACCAGGUCUUAUUUCCCUGAGAUUACAGUGGAACAGACUAAAGAAUUUCAGAUCUUAUCUCCCUGAGGUUACAGUGGAGCAGAUUGAGGCCAGAAAUCUUAUCUCCCUGAGAUUACAGCGGAGCAGAUUGAAGACACUAUCCUAUCUCCCUGAAGUUACAGUGGAGCGGAUUAAAAUAAAGGAUCUUAUUUCCCUGAAGUUACAGUAGAGUAGAUCGCAUCAGGUCUUAUCUCCCUGAGAUUACAGUGGAGCAGACCGAAGAAUUUCAAAUCUUAUCUCUCUGAGAUUACAGCGGAGCAGAUUGAAGCUAGUAAUCCUAUCUCUCUGAAGUUACAGUGGAGCGGAUUAAAAUAAAAGAUCUUAUCUCUCUGAAGUUACAGUAGAGCAGAUCACAUUAGAUUGAAGAUAGUAAUCCUAUCUGCCUGAGAUUAUAGUGGAGUGGAUUAAAAUAAAAGAUCUUAUCUCUUUAAGGUUACAGUAGAGGAGAUCGUGUCAGGUCCUAUCCCCCUGAUGUUGCAGUGGAACAGACUGAAAACAUAAAUUUCGUUCCCUUGUGAAGAAAAUUAAAGCUACAAAUCAGAUCUUCCUGAAGUACGGUAGAAUGGAUUGAAGCAAUAAGGCACAGUGGACUGGAGUGAAGCCACUUGAAUAGAAGCGCUAAGAAGUCAAGACUCGGCGAGACCGGGCAAAAUUAGUCUUUCUUAGUCUUUGUUCUGUUAUCGUUACACGAUAACAAACAAAGAGGGGCAGCUGUACAGCCUAAUUUAUGCCCGGGCCCAACAAGCAGAGACCCAAGGAUCAAAUCUACCCAAACAGCCCCAUUACAAGCCCAAAAUCCAAACAAGCCCAUUACAGCAGGGCCCAACAAAGGUCAGCAUAGGGUUUCAGCUUUUCUGAAACCCUAGCUAAGGCGCCGCACGUCCCUGGGGGCUCCUAACGUCUACCGCCGCUCUAGUUUCUGCCACCGACGCCACCAGCUAUUCCCAUCAAUUACCUGCAAGGACAGCACGCAAAGCAAAGGCAAAAACAGUGCAAAAUAAUAGAAAUAGAUAAAGAUGUAUUAAAAUCGGCUAUAUAAGGAGACAAACAAAAUGUAACAGGGGUCUUUUUUUUUUCGGUGAUUAAAAACAACUUAAUAAAAAGAAGAAAAAACUGAGAAGGUAGAUUGCCUUUCUUUUCUGUUCUGGCGUUU
rnacentral:lncRNA from 1 species